GACGAACGCUGGCGGCGUGCUUAACACAUGCAAGUCGAACGGAAAGGCCCUGCUUUUGUGGGGUGCUCGAGUGGCGAACGGGUGAGUAACACGUGAGUAACCUGCCCUUGACUUUGGGAUAACUUCAGGAAACUGGGGCUAAUACCGGAUAGGAGCUCCUGCUGCAUGGUGGGGGUUGGAAAGUUUCGGCGGUUGGGGAUGGACUCGCGGCUUAUCAGCUUGUUGGUGGGGUAGUGGCUUACCAAGGCUUUGACGGGUAGCCGGCCUGAGAGGGUGACCGGGCAACAUUGGGACGGGGUGACGGCCAGGCUUCCUACGGGAGGAAGCGGGGGGGAAUAUUGCACAAUGGGGGGAGGCCUGAUGCAGCAACGCGGGGUGCGGGAUGACGGCCUUCGGGUGGUAAACCGCUUUCGCCUGUGACGAAGCGUGAGUAACGGUAAUGGGUAAGGAAGCACCGGCUAACUACGU
rnacentral:rRNA from 1 species